UCACCCUUCAAGCCCUCGGGUUUGGUGUUGGACGGUUUUGGCGGGACCUGCAGCGUCCCACCCCUCCUAAAGACAAUGACGGUGGCCUCGUUAGACCCCCGGUACACUGAGCUUCUUAACCGAGCAUGUACUGGAUGCGGGUACGUGGGGCACGGUCUACCUCCCCUCAGGGAGAGUUUCCUUUUCAA
rnacentral:misc_RNA from 1 species